GGAGGGUGCAAGCGUUGUCCGGAAUCAUUGGGCGUAAAGAGUUCGUAGGUGGUUUGUUAAGUUUGGUGUUAAAUGCAGAGGCUCAACUUCUGUUCGGCAUCGGAUACUGGCAGACUAGAAUGCGGUAGAGGUAAAGGGAAUUCCUGGUGUAGCGGUGAAAUGCGUAGAUAUCAGGAGGAACAUCGGUGGUGUAAGCGCUUUACUGGGCCGUAAUUGACACUGAGGAACGAAAGCCAGGGUAGCAAAUGGGAUUAGAUACCCCAGUAGUCCUGGCCGUAAACGAUGGAUACUAGGUGUUGCGGGUAUCGACCCCUGCAGUGCCGUAGCUAACGCGUUAAGUAUCCCGCCUGGGGAGUACGCACGCAAGUGUGAAACUCAAAGGAAUUGACGG
rnacentral:rRNA from 1 species